AAAGAAGCAAAACGGAGAAGAGAAAAAAAAAUCAUUUUUUCUCAAUUGUUUUUCAGAAUACACCGCGGUAGAGAAGCCUCUUCGAAUCCGAAACUAGUGUAAUAAAUCCACUAAAAGAAAAUUCUAUUUAUCAGAAUUCUCACCAAAAC